GGCUCAGGACGAACGCUGGCGGCGUGCUUAACACAUGCAAGUCGAACGAUGAACCACUUCGGUGGGGAUUAGUGGCGAACGGGUGAGUAACACGUGGGCAAUCUGCCCUUCACUCUGGGACAAGCCCUGGAAACGGGGUCUAAUACCGGAUACUGACCCUCGCAGGCAUCUGCGAGGUUCGAAAGCUCCGGCGGUGAAGGAUGAGCCCGCGGCCUAUCAGCUUGUUGGUGAGGUAAUGGCUCACCAAGGCGACGACGGGUAGCCGGCCUGAGAGGGCGACCGGCCACACUGGGACUGAGACACGGCCCAGACUCCUACGGGAGGCAGCAGUGGGGAAUAUUGCACAAUGGGCGAAAGCCUGAUGCAGCGACGCCGCGUGAGGGAUGACGGCCUUCGGGUUGUAAACCUCUUUCAGCAG
rnacentral:rRNA from 2 species